UUCCGGUUGAUCCUGCCGGAGGUUACUGCUAUCGGUGUUCGCCUAAGCCAUGCGAGUCAUAUGUAGCAAUACAUGGCGUACUGCUCAGUAACACGUGGAUAACCUGCCCUUGGGACCGGCAUAACCCCGGGAAACUGGGGAUAAUUCCGGAUAACGCAUAUUUGCUGGAAUGCUUAUGCGUCAAAAGGAUUCGUCUGCCCAAGGAUGGGUCUGCGGCCUAUCAGGUAGUAGUGGGUGUAAUGUACCUACUAGCCAGCGACGGGUACGGGUUGUGAGAGCAAGAGCCCGGAGAUGGAUUCUGAGACAUGAAUCCAGGCCCUACGGGGCGCAGCAGGCGCGAAAACUUUACAAUGCGGGAAACCGUGAUAAGGGGACACCGAGUGCCAGCAUCAUAUGCUGGCUGUCCGGAUGUGUAAAAUACAUCCGUUAGCAAGGGCCGGGCAAGACCGGUGCCAGCCGCCGCGGUAACACCGGCGGCCCGAGUGGUGAUCGUGAUUAUUGGGUCUAAAGGGUCCGUAGCCGGUUUGGUCAGUCCUCCGGGAAAUCUGAUAGCUCAACUAUUAGGCUUUCGGGGGAUACUGCCAGACUUGGAACCGGGAGAGGUAAGAGGUACUACAGGGGUAGGAGUGAAAUCUUGUAAUCCCUGUGGGACCACCUGUGGCGAAGCGUCUUACCAGAACGGGUUCGACGGUGAGGGACGAAAGCUGGGGGCACGAACCGGAUUAGAUACCCGGGUAGUCCAAGCCGUAACGAUGCUCGCUAGGUGUCAGGCAUGGCGCGACCGUGUCUG
rnacentral:rRNA from 1 species